GGCGACACUUUCGAAUUGACGGGGAUACCCUAAAGCCUGUCGCACCAACUCUGUGUGGGAAACCGCUGGAGGGCCCGUGCUAACUACACGGGGUGGUAACAGACGACACGGAUACCUCCACGCCUUUUUUGGUGUAGAUACCAUGGGCAAUCCGCAGCGAAGCCUCUAAGUCCGGCCGCCGGAUAUGAGGAACGUUCACAGACUAAGUGGAAGUGGGUGGAGCGUUCGCCGCUCUGCUUAAGAUAUAGUCGGUCCCCUUGGGAAACUAAGGGGGUGAGUACACUGCUCGAAAUUUAAACUUGAGCGCAUCUCGGAUAGCGCUCGUGUUAGAAUUUCGGGACCGUCGAUUGCCUCGCGGUUCGACGGCUCUUAAAACGUUCCGUAGGUGAACCUGCGGAAGGAUCAUUACAGAAAGUAAACGCGGAUCAAACCGCGAACUUUUAAACCUUUGACGAUUGACUCAUGUUGCCUCGGCGGGUUCUCUCGCCAGAGGAUACAUCAAAACUCCUGUUUUAACGGUGUUGUCUGAGCUACAAGCAACGAAUCAAAACUUUCAACAACGGAUCUCUUGGUUCUGGCAUCGAUGAAGAACGCAGCGAAAUGCGAUAAGUAGUGUGAAUUGCAGAAUUCAGUGAAUCAUCGAAUCUUUGAACGCACAUUGCGCCCCUUGGUAUCCCGAGGGGCAUGCCUGUUCGAGCGUCAUUUCACCACUCAAGCCUGGCUUGGUGUUGGGCGACGUCCCCUUCAGGGACGCGCCUCGAAACGCUCGGCGGCGUGGCACCGGCUUUAAGCGUAGCAGAAUCUUUCGCUUCAAAAGUUGGGGCCCCGUCUGCCGGAAGACCUACUCGCAAGGUUGACCUCGGAUCAGGCAGGGAUACCCGCUGAACUUAAGCAUAUCAAUAAGCGGAG
rnacentral:misc_RNA from 1 species